rnacentral:sRNA from 1 species
UCCCGCCCGUCUGGGUUGAUUGUCUCGAUCGCCUCGUUCGUACCCUGAAUAAUCCUGAAUAGCCUCCUUUCCACUGUUCCUCCCCCAGGUUUUAUAUAAACCUCCCCCAGACUCUUCACAUCCUGCUGCUGACUUCCAACCUACCUCUUUCAACAUACCACCAUACCAUAUUAUCAUUACAUAUCUUAUGGCAGAAGCCAUCCGAGAAAUACCUCAACUGCUGCUACUACUCCACAUCCACAUCCACAUCCACCACACAACACUGCUACUACCUCCAGCAAAAUGUGGUACGGAUUCAGCUUCAAUAGCACGCUCUCCUCGCCAUCUGGCUCACCCUCCUCUCUUCCUCCACCUCCUCCGCCAUCUCCCAACGACUCUCUACUUGAUAUUGCUCCCCGCAAAAGCUCUUUCUCCAUGACAUCGGGCAGAAACACAUCAUGCGCCUUUCCCUCCUGGCCCAACCGGUCUUCCCUCUUUUCUGACUCAGACUCCACAGCCAGCGCCUACCUGUCAGACGAGGAUCUCUUUCCCACGUCUCCUUCACCAAGCUCUGAGUCAGCCUUUGAAGAGGAUGCCGUUUCGUACCACCCGGUCUUUGGAGCCGGAGAGCUGACCACAGAGGAGCAAAUCUCCAUGAUCAACGGAGCAGCAGAGCAGGAAGAGCGACGACAAAGAUAUCUUGCCAAUGCUCAUGCCCAGCUCCGUGCACAACAAGCAGUACGAGCCGCCCAAAUACUAGCUGCUGAGCAACAGAGCGGGAAACGAAGAAAGCGACGCGUGGUUACGGACAAGAAGCGGAGAACUGCCUCAUCAUCUUCCUCUUCGAAUUCCACCAAGUCGCCCUCUGGUUGAGUUGACGUGUGCUCAAUGUUUACUUUUCUUGUCACAUGUAUUAACUCGACACAUUUCCCAUUUAUCUACCUUCCAACAUAACCUCCAGCCUUACCACCUCCAACCCGACAACGAAGCAAAGCACACCAACAUCUGUUACUGAGGAAGGAAGAACUUUUGAGUGAGCAUAUGCAUGGAAUGUGCAUUGGCUCGCUUGUUUCGAUCCCGAGUGUAUCAUUGGUUUUUUUCCCCGAGCAAGAGGAGAGACUCUAGGAAACGAACACGGCAUUAACUUUUUAAUUUUCCUCGGAAUUUUCUGCAAAGACGUCAUGUGAAAGAGCGGUGUCGCGGACCCGAAGGAAUUACUCGGGAGAGACAAGACGCAAUGCGUUUUCGCGCGUUAUUCGAGCGUCACAACUUCAUCCAAUCCGGAAACCUCACCGUGGUCAUGAUUCCACUGUGACGGAGCCAACCUCCCCUGACUUCUUCUUUCCUUACCGCCCUUUAUUCGAACACACAUCUUUUCACCAAUACCAUUUGAAGUGAGAAAAAUAUUAACUUUUUUUCUCUCGUUCUUGGGGUUUCGGGGUCCCUUGUCCAUGUCGGAUUGGCAGGUGUGACUUGCAUGUGGCAUGGAUGUGACGUGACGUGACGGAACGAAACUCAAAAAUGUUCGAUAGUAGGAAGAACGGAUUCCGACUUGACCUCAGCCAGUCGUUUGGUUACAGUUGGUCAGCCUUCAGUCCAGGUUGACAUACAUUACGCCAUUAUUUUUUUCAUUGCCCCUUACACCGCCCACUGCCGAACAGGGCCUGAUGAGGAAUCGGAUGUCGAGUUUAUUUUUUAUGGCGGUGGUGACUCAUUUAUUGGAGGUGUGGGUUGGCCACUUUGUCAGCGUCGGCUGUCAUCUGAACUAUUUUUGUUUCUCAGUCGGACGCGAAGCCUGCAUGCAUAUUGGCUGGCGGGGCGGGUGAUUUUCUCCCUUGCUGCCCGAUGCGAGGAAAUCGAUGUUUGUCGUUGGGUUUCUUAUGGAGGUUGUGUUUCACCCCACGCAUCCCUUGCGGCUUGGCCCCGUUCUUACUCAGCCUAUAACCGCGCCCCAAGCAAGUCAUCCGCUGGCUGCGCAUCGCCCUACCGCCCCGGCACUUCCUCACCGCCUGUUGCCUAUUGCCUAUUGUUGCUGUUCACGUCUUGAAUCAUCAGCAGCAGCAGCAGCAACAACAGCAGCACUGUUCACUCUCUGCCUAUCCUUCCCCCACGCCUUGACUUCCCCCUCACCUUUCUGCCUGAAUUUUUAUUUUGCGCGUGGUGUUACCUUCGGCAUUCGGCCUUUGAUCUCUUUUUCCCUCUCUGAUGUACCAAGCACAGCGGAGCGCAGUGUUGGGGGAACCCUAUUAUUUUCUUGUCCAUAUCUUGUUCGGCGCCUCAUUUUUAUUCAUUUUGUCCUUUUCUGUUAUGCAUUAUACCCCCCCCGAACCAAUUUGGUAUCGAUUUGUUUUUGAUUUGUUUUCGCUACUCUGUUCAUCGAUCGCAGCUGUGCUGGUGAAAUCGACUUUUUCAUUUUUUAUUUUCACUUCUUCACCUCCUCUUCUUCCCCACUUUUAGCUCCCGAGCGACUAUGAGAUCAUCGUUCUGGACUCUGCAGAUGGCUGAAUGAUGGGAAGUACUUUUUUCGAUUUCUCCUAAUGGUCUCCUGCUGGGAUCACAUUCGAAAGCAACGAGCUUGCUGGGGUUUUAUUUUUUUUUUCCCUCCUUGACUGGGUUGCAUUAUUGCAUAGCAUUGCAUCACACAUUGGGCAACGGUCGAAAUUUUUAAUAUGCUUUUUUACACAUUCAGCGCACAUAAACAUCAAGAAGACUCUGUACGGUGCGUACAGGUUCCCAUUUAGCUAGCAAUAGUUAGGCGGAAAUAGCAGAAUAGGGCAUCAGGAUGGGAUUAGCCUGUCUUGAAUCGAUAUUUGCUCCUUCAAACGAAGCAAAGGAAAAAUAAUAUAAUACACAAUACAGAUAAAUACCAU